rnacentral:rRNA from 1 species
AAAGGGAGCUCGCAAGAGCCCUCACUCUGGGAUGAGCCUGCGUCUCAUUAGCUAGUUGGUGGGGUAAUGGCCCACCAAGGCAUUGAUGGGUAGCUGGUCUGAGAGGAUGAUCAGCCACACUGGAACUGAAACACGGUCCAGACUCCUACGGGAGGCAGCAGUGGGGAAUCUUGCGCAAUGGACGAAAGUCUGACGCAGCCACGCCGCGUGAGUGAAGAAGGCCUUCGGGUUGUAAAGCUCUGUCGAGCGGGACGAAAAAUUAUUAGGUGAAUAGCCUAGUAAUCUGACGGUACCGCUAAAGGAAGCACCGGCUAACUCUGUGCCAGCAGCCGCGGUAA